rnacentral:rRNA from 3 species
GGACUACAAGGGUAUCUAAUCCCGUUUGCUCCCCUGGCUUUCGCGCCUCAGCGUCAGAAGAGAUCCAGCCCGUCGCUUUCGCCACCGGCGUUCCUUCGGAUAUCAACGCAUUUCACCGCUCCACCCGAAGUUCCACAGGCCCCUACCUCCCUCGAGAUGACCAGUUUCCAAGGCCCUUUUCCGGUUAAGCCGAAAGAUUUCACCCCGGACUUGGUCAUCCGCCUACGCGCCCUUUAAGCCCAGUGAUUCCGAACAACGUUAGGACGGUUCGUCUUACCGCGGCUGCUGGCAC